CACGUAGGCACCAAGCGUUGUCCGGAUUUAUUGGGCGUAAAGAGCUCGUAGGCGGUUGAGUAAGUCGGGUGUGAAAACUCUGGGCUUAACCCAGAGCCGCCACUCGAUACUGCUCUGACUUGAGUACGGUAGGGGAGCAGGGAAUUCCUAGUGUAGCGGUGAAAUGCGCAGAUAUUAGGAGGAACACCGGUGGCGAAGGCGCUGCUCUGGGCUGAAACUGACGCUGAGGAGCGAAAGCGUGGGUAGCAAACAGG
rnacentral:rRNA from 1 species